rnacentral:rRNA from 1 species
UACGAAGGGGGCUAGCGUUGCUCGGAAUCACUGGGCGUAAAGCGCACGUAGGCGGAUUUCUAAGUCAGGGGUGAAAUCCUGGAGCUCAACUCCAGAACUGCCCUUGAUACUGGCGGUCUCGAGUCCGGGAGAGGUGAGUGGAACUGCGAGUGUAGAGGUGAAAUUCGUAGAUAUUCGCAAGAACACCAGUGGCGAAGGCGGCUCACUGGCCCGGUACUGACGCUGAGGUGCGAAAGCGUGGGGAGCAAACAGG